rnacentral:sRNA from 1 species
AAUCGGACCGGCGCUCGGUGAAGCCCAGAUUCUCUUUGUUCCGCAGCCAUUUCAGGCCCCGGACGGGAGGCAGUGCCGCUUCGGCCGAAGGCCCGAGCGCCCGAGGCCUCUGGGAUGGUGUGGGACCGGGGCACAGCAAGAAGUCUGUGAGCUAGAAAGCAGCCCUCGCCAGAUACUGAAUAUGCCUUGAUCUUGGACUUCCCAUCCUACAGAAUGCAAACCAAGAUGGAGUAUGAGUGGAAACCUGACGAGCAAGGGCUUCAGCAAAUCCUGCAGCUGUUGAAGGAGUCCCAGUCCCCAGACACCACCAUCCAGAGAACCGUGCAACAAAAACUGGAACAACUUAAUCAAUAUCCAGACUUUAACAACUACUUGAUUUUUGUUCUUACAAAAUUAAAAUCUGAAGAUGAACCCACAAGAUCAUUGAGUGGUCUCAUCUUGAAGAAUAAUGUGAAAGCACACUUUCAGAACUUCCCAAAUGGUGUAACAGACUUUAUUAAAAGUGAAUGUUUAAAUAAUAUUGGUGACUCCUCUCCUCUGAUUAGAGCC